GACGAACGCUGGCGGCGUGCUUAACACAUGCAAGUCGAGCGGUAAGGCCCUUUCGGGGUACACGAGCGGCGAACGGGUGAGUAACACGUGGGUGACCUGCCCUUAGCUCUGGGAUAAGCCUGGGAAACUGGGUCUAAUACCGGAUAUGACUCCAUGACGCAUGUUGUGGGGUGGAAAGCCUUGUGCGGCUAGGGAUGGGCCCGCGGCCUAUCAGCUUGUUGGUGGGGUGAUGGCCUACCAAGGCGACGACGGGUAGCCGGCCUGAGAGGGCGACCGGCCACACUGGGACUGAGACACGGCCCAGACUCCUACGGGAGGCAGCAGUGGGGAAUCUUGCGCAAUGGGCGAAAGCCUGACGCAGCGACGCCGCGUGAGGGAUGACGGCCUGGUU
rnacentral:rRNA from 1 species